AAUGAACGCUGGCGGCAGGCCUAACACAUGCAAGUCGAACGGGUCCUUCGGGACUAGUGGCGGACGGGUGAGUAACGCGUGGGAACGUGCCCUUUGCUACGGAAUAGCCUCUGGAAACGGAGAGUAAUACCGUAUGUGCCCCUUGGGGGAAAGAUUUAUCGGCAAAGGAUCGGCCCGCGUUGGAUUAGGUAGUUGGUGGGGUAAUGGCCUACCAAGCCGACGCUCCAUAGCUGGUUUGAGAGGAUGAUCAGCCACACUGGGACUGAGACACGGCCCAGACUCCUACGGGAGGCGGCAGUGGGGAAUCUUAGACAAUGGGGGAAACCCUGAUAUAGCCAUGCCGCGUGAUCGAUGAAGGCCUUAGGGUUGUAAAGAUCUUUCAGGUGGGAAGAUAAUGACGGUACCACCAGAAGAAGCCCCGGCUAACUCCGUGCCAGCCGCCGCGGUAA
rnacentral:rRNA from 1 species